rnacentral:misc_RNA from 1 species
GUUUAUCACCACGCUGCUUUAUCUCGGUCGCUCACACACACGGACCCGCACGCCAUCACCUUCGCCUCUGCGCCUCUUGUGCAUGACUGUGAAUCUUAGGGAGGAGGGCGUGCACCCAAGGACACAGGAGCAUUUUAUUUUUCUUGAGAUCAGCAAGCAGCGGGGGGAGGGCACUAGCAGCGGCCAUACGCCGAGCCUGCACUUUUUCGGCUUGCUCCAUCUGCUCCCCCGCUGCUUUGGCCGACUUUUCGAUGGGGGCCGUCUCUCUCUCUCUCUCGAAUUCUUCGUUUACUUCCAGGCUGUCUGAGGUGUUUUUUUUUUCGUGCGACGUGAGACGAAAUUGAAUCACCCACACACACACGCAGCGUGGCUCGCGCGCGUGCUUUAGUUCUUCUGUAUCUUCCGCUUGGCCUCUGUGCUACGCCGCUUUCCCUCGAGUCCUUCCAUCCACCCCCUUUACGGUCGGCCUCGACUUGCCUCGCAGCUCCCUAAGUGUUUUGUGGGAAGGACUCGCAUUUCACGCCUUGAAGAUGAGCCAAUUUGUGUUCAACGGCAGCAGUCGCAUGCGCAACAUGAAGCUGGCGCGCGACCAUCACAAGACGCGGAACAGCAUCAUCGAAGAUGCACAACGACUGCGACUUCAGAGAGAGGAGGAGGCGCGCCGCAUGCGCGCCGUCCGGCGGCUGCAACGUGCCAUUCGCCAGUGGCUUGCUUGUCAGGCGAUGGUGCGUUUGGCGUUGAGUGACCUGGAUAGCUUGUCAUCGGACGUGAAGCGAAUUCUACUGUCGACGUCUUCUGCGGGCUUCUCUUCCGCUGUUCACACGACUGCCGUCCCGAGCCAGACAGAGCAGCUCACGGCACGCCUACACACGGCGUGCUGGUGCCUCUCGUAUGUGCGCCGCCACCAGUCACAUAUUCCGCUGCGCCUCGACGCGCCUUUCCGAGCUGCAGCAAAGAACGACUGCAGCACAGAAACGGUAUUAGGUGAUGCGGGUUCAGGCAUACCUGGGACGACUGGCCUAGGCGCUACUGCCGCGGCUCACCAGCGUGUCACUCUUUCCUCUCCUCAUACCUCCUCGGUGUCGUCCCUCGGAGAGCUGCGCGCGUACCGGCAGCGGGUCUUCUGGCACUACAGCGAAUGCCUUUACACAGCUCUCAGCGAAAGCAUCAACCGCAGCGCGGAGGGUGAGGACACGGCUGAUGAGGACACCAUCGCAUUUCAUGCCGAUGCCGCCACUGAGGCAGCCGCAGUCAAUCGGCCAGCCGAUCCGCUGUCGCUGUCGUGGCCUUCUUUUCUCGCUUCUUUGCCCACCAAAGAUGUGGUCCUUCUCCUCUGCGUGCUGUUGCAGCAACUCUCGCGUGUGGCGCCGUCGAUGCCGGGCAGCCACGCAUCGCCAUCCAGCAGCGCAUCUUUGGUAAAGCGACUGGCAAGGUAUCUUGUGGCUGUCAUCGUCACACACAACGCUGCGUUUGCACGUACACUCAACGAGGAGCCGACACCUCGCAGAAGCCACGAAGGUCUUGAGAUGUCAGCGACGGCGGUGACUUUACCGUCAUUGGCUGCAGCGGCGUCUUUUGAUCGGUGGCCGGCGGUACAUGCCUUGACCGUGACACUCAGUUUUCUAGGCCAGGAGACGGUGGCGCAUCCGGUGAGCGUGCGCUCGCAGUGCAGGGAGCUACUGCAGCCACUUGUCGCGGCGUUCCCGCCCCUUUCUCAGGCUGAAGCCGGCGGGUACAGCCCACUGUCGCCGCCUACGGGCUCCUUUGCGCAGGUGUGCUGGCAAUGUAUGUGCGCUCCCUACACCGAAGAGGAGUCCCAGCGACUCACCUCCAACUCUCUGGCGGUGCUGCUCGGCGCUGCUGAUACAGCCGCGGAGGGGCCCGCGCGUGGCGGCUGCGACGUGGUGGAUACGUGCUUUACGAUGCUUGUUGCGGAGUGCUACAGACGGACUGCCAUGAACACGGAGCUGACGGCGUGCGAUGGCGUAAGUGGGCUACGAGGUGGGGAGCUGCGUGCUCGUGUACUUGGGCGCCUUGUGCGGUUGCUGCCGCGUAUCCACCAGCUCGUGGAGGCAACAUCGUGCGCUGCCUCUGUGUCGCCGUCGCCCUUAGCUGCCUGCACGGAUGUGGUGAAGUGGUACUUGCUCAGCGUCAGCUGCCUGAGCGAGCGACUGUGCCGCGAGGAUUUCUUUAUUGAGGGCAUUCUGGCAGAUCACUACGCCUACAACACCGGCCGGCGGCAGCAGCGCCGCACGGUGGAUGGGAAGGACGAUGCCGAGGGUGUCGAUGAAUCGUCGCACAGUCAAUACCGCCUGCUUACCUCGUACCUGUUCAGCGCCGAGGGUGGCCUGCAACUGCUACAACUCCUCACCGUGCAGGAUGAGCGGUGUGAGAAACUGCGCCUGAUGUCGCUGCAGAAGCCUACCGUGGAGGCACCCACCGAUACCGGCGCGCCGCCAACGGUGGACGACGGCGGCAACGAGGAGGGCGACUUGGCAGCAGCUGCAUCGCUGGCGAAUACGACGUCCUUCAUGGAUGCUGGCGCUGCCGCUCAGUGGCCGUCGUCUGCCUCGAUGCAGCAGAGCCCACUCGAGAUUCUGUGCAACGUGUUUGCGUGGCCCAUCUUCACAUUCUCGAAGCCGAGAUACAGCCGCUAUCAACAGGAGACGUUGGCGCUGUACGCAAAGCUGGUGCGCACUCCGCAGCUGCUGCGUCGCCUUUGGAGUUUGUACUGGCAGAGCUGCGAGGGGCUGCGGGCUGUGCUGCCGCCCGGCGAGGCUUUGCAGAGGCUGUGCCAGCCACCGGCGUGGGGUGCACAGGAGCAGGAGGAGCAGCCGGCCCUCGCCGGCGAGGAGCGGUCUAGACGCCGCCGCGUGCCCGCGGCUGCCCACCCCGGGCCCGCCCUCAUUUCCCUCCCGCGGCUGCCAACGUGGGAGACACAUCCGCGUUACCCUCUCGCUUUCUAUGACCCUCACGCGUCGCUCUCCAUCUUUUUCUUCACCCUGCUGGCAUACUAUGUGAACGUGUGCGACUUCGCCGAUGAGCUGCGUCGCGGUGGCGAGGCGGCGGUGCUGUCUACAGAGGAGUCGUGGGCGUUGGUGCUCGCGCUGAAGGAGAUUGUGCACCGGUCACACAUGUACGGCGUCGUACCGGACUCCAACGGCGAGGCUGUUGCUCACGCGGCCUGCCUGCUGCUCUCCCGCCUACACACGGUGGACGAGGCGGACCCGUUUGUGCCUGCCGCGGCGACCGGUCUGUGGAUGUCCGUCAGCGCCGUCGCUGCCGAGGCAGCAGUGGGUUUGUUGUUUCGCACUUGGGAUGCGGCGAGCGCCGCCGUGGUGGAUGAGGAGGAUGCCGCAGAGGCAGGGGAGGCAGAGCUUGACGGCGCCAGCGUCGCAACCGGAGAGCGAAGCGUUGUGGGCGGCGUAAUGUCGAGCACCACCGCCGGUGUCGCGACCACGUCGGUGGCCCACGUGCGUCUUCCCGGCGACGACGUCGCCUUUCACGGCAGCGCGCAGUGGAAACAGGCGACUCGGUACGCAAAGAUGCUCGUGCACACACCGUUCCUGUUCCCUUUUGCCGCUCGCGCACUGCUCCUCUCGGCGCUGCUCGUGGAGACGGACCACCACUGGACGCCGCCGAGCGAGCGGCGGGUGGUGGUGCAGCGCGGACGCACUUUCAUAGACGCCUUUGACCUUUUCCACGACAAGCCGCUCAGCAACGACAUGCUCAACAUCCGCUUCAUCGCCGACGACGGCACGCUCGAGGCCGGGUACGGCCGCGGUGUGUACCGAGAGUGUAUCGUGUCACUGUGCAAGGAGGGGUUUGCGGCUGAAUACGGCCUGUUUCGCCAGACCCCAGACGGCUAUGUGUACCCGAACUCCUUCAGCGCCGUGGCGACCAGUGACCCGCAGCAUCUUUUGAAGAUCCGCUUCUUGGGGGCAAUGGUGGGUCGCGCGCUGCGCGACGGUGUGUUGCAAGACGUGCCGUUCGCCCUUCACUUUCGCAACUCCAUCUUGGGCCGCCGCAACACCCUCAGCAACCUCAAGAGCUUCGACGCGGAGCUCUAUCACCAGCUUAUGUCCCUCACGCAGCUUAGCGAGGAAGAGCUGGAGGCGGUUGGACUGACCUUUGUCUACACAGUGAACGCGCUGGGCAUCACAAGGGAGGUAGAGCUGGUGCCUGACGGGGCGAAGAUGCACGUGACGCCGCGCAACUGCCUCUUUUACGUGCACCUCGUCGCCGACUUUAAGCUCAACCGCGAGGCCGCCGAGCAGACGCGCGCGUUUUGCACCGGGCUUCACUCUGUAAUUGACACGAACCGUCUUCGCUUGUUCGACAGUAACGAGGUCGGCAAGCUCUUCGGCGGCGAUGAGACGGGGCAGAUCGACUUGGAGGACUGGAAGGCGAAUACAGUGUACGACAAGCCGGAGGACGUGAACGCACCGCAGGUGCGGCUCUUCUGGGACGUUGUGGAGUCUCUCACGCGCGCGCAGCAGCGACAGCUGCUGAAGUUUGUGACGUCCAUGACUCGGCCGCCGCUGCUCGGCUUCCGUUUCCUGGCGCCUCCCUUUAAGGUUCAGCUGCUGGCGAUGAAUGCGUCCGGGCCCGAUCAUCUGCCCUCGGCGGCAACGUGCUUCUCUACCUUAAAGCUACCACCGUACCGUGACUACGCGACGGCUCGAGCGAAGAUUGUUGCUGCCAUUGAAGAAACCGGUACCUUCGAGUUCAGCUGAGCAGCGAGGCGCUAUAGCGCGCCUCGGUGGGCCUCGUGCCGCAGCACGCACGAAAAGAGGUAUCGCGAGGGCGCCGCGGAUCGGGGUGGGAUGCUGGGGGUCUUGGCAGGUCGAUGGAGUCAAUGCGACCGGUAAAAGCCGCUAUUACCCCUCCCAUGCACGCAUCUUCUCCCCCUCUUCUCUCUCAGAAUGUGUGUGUGUGUGUGCGUGGCUGUCUGUCCAGGUCCGGUGUUGUUUGAAGCGCUUAUUUGCCACCUUAUGUAUGCGUCUGUGUGUGCCCGCGCGUUCUCUGUCUCUGCGUAUGUGCGCGCAUUCUUGUGCUCGUGCCUCGAUGCACAUUACCACUGAUCCGACAAACGAUUUGAAGUACCGAUAAGGGCAUCGAGAAAUGGAAGGCCUGGGAGAGGGUGCAGGCAGUCCACGCGCAGUCCCAGCGGCGUAUAGGACGAACGAGGGCAAAACACCGUCUGUGGCAUUGGGCCAGGCCCUCUCUCUCUUUCCCACCCCUCCUUUCCUCAUCCCCUGCCACCAGUGAAUGUGUGGGUGAAGGCGAUCUCUCCCGCCGAGUCG